AUAUAUUGCCUCACUUUGAUUUGCACUCAAUGCACCACCAUUGAGAGUCUGAUCUGGCUCCUGUACAAGUCAAGAGGAAGACACCCAUUGACUUGAAUGGGAGUUGGAUCAGGCGCUGACCCUAACCCCCCAAUGCUGUAAAACAAGGAUAACUGAUCUGGUGGAUAGAGGCAUACGGGGGACAUAAUAUACCAGGACUUCAGCCAGGCUUUUGGCACAGUCCCACAUGACAUUCUGAUCGACCUUGUGAUUGGGAAGAAAAUCUUCUGGAUGUGGCACAGUACAGUGCUGUAGGCAGCCCAAAUGGGACUAUGGCUCUAAGAGAAACUCAAUGUAGGACCUCUCUGCUGUCUCAGGGUAUGUCUACACUGCCCGCUGGAUCAGCGGGCAGCGAUGGAGCCAACGGGGGUCGAUUUAUCGUGUCUAGUCUUAUCGACUCCUGUACUCCACCACCACAAGAGGCACAGGCAGAGUUGACAGGGGAGCGUCAGCAGUCAACUCACCGCGGUGAAGACACGUGCAGAAAGCGUCCCCUGAUUUUCAUUGGCCCCCGCCAGAGGGGAGAGAGGGCUGGAUCUAUCAGGCAUUGAUCUCUGGGCUAACAGGAGAGACUGUGGUGUGAUGCUGACGCAGCCCACUGACAAGCCAGGCAAGGGCCCAAGGGAGCGGCACUGAGCUGGAGAGCAUCAGCAGCGCCAGGCAGCCUCUCUCAGCGAGAAAUCACCCCUUCCGGGAGGCAGCAAGCACACGGGCACUGUACAUACGCACUAGCAACACCCAAGGACGCGUAGUGGUCAGCUGGACGGGAAGAGGAAAGCAUCAGAAUGAGGUCAACCAACAGGGGAGGGUCCAAUAAGUUUUUAGGAAAAGCUGACAAAAAGCUGCCGGUAUUUGUUCCAGAGAUUUUUUAGAGUGAAAGAGAAUUCUUAACCUUCACUGCUGGUGACUACGGACAACAUGGCUUGCUCUUAAUCAUGCAUUGUUGAUGCAAGGCCUUAGUAAUUUUUUUUCUAUAAAGAAAUAUCCCUGGACUAAUGAAUGUCAUCAAGUCAAAAAGCUACAGAGAUCUAAAUCAGCAGAAGAACAUGCCACUGAACACAACUCCGAUUUUACUGUAGAAGAGAUGAAUGAUAAGGGACUCUUGGUCUACAAAGUGUGUCAUGUAACUAUGCCCGUUAUUUGUGAGAAGACUUGAACUUGUAUGGCUGAACUUACUUUACCCAACGCUUAUAUUAUAGAAGAACCAGUAACAACAAAUAAACAGAAAAAAAGACUCAGCCCUGUCUGCCAAGGUCACAUCAUUUUCAAUUAUUAUUCAACAUCAGCCCAGCCCUGCCUACAGGGCCUGCACAAGCUGCAGGCCGGGCUUUAAAAGGGGAGAGAAGCAGCUCAGAAGGAGGCAGGCAAUGGACGGGAGCAGAUGGCAACCCUGAGCUCUGAGAGUCAAAGUGAUGCACUUUGCCUGAAGCCUCACUACACGGACCAGGGGAGAACCUAGGAAGGCGAGAAGCGACUGAGUGUGCAGGUCAGAGAUUUGAGAGACGGGCUUUACCCUGAUGCAGUUGACCGGGUGCCAGGGUAGGAAGUAGUCCAGGGAAGGCGGCAGCUUGACAAACCAAGGAGCUGUGUGUAGCCACCUGUCGUUGGGCCCUGGACUAGAGCUCAGUGGAGAGGGUGGGGCCUGAGCUCCCCUACCUCGCCCCCAGCAGACAGCACAGCACCAGGGGCCUCCAGCUAAGAUGGGAGACCUACUAGGACUGACCUUGAUUGUUCAAAGACCCAGCCCCCGCUCCCGGAGUGCAGGAGGGGAGAACUGGAAACCCCUGCCUGACCACUAGGCGACCCUGCGGGUGAUGGCGCACCUUUUACAGGAAGUAUUGUGAUUCCCAUUUCAAAGAUGAAGUGACGUACCAAUCCCAUAGGAAGCCUGUGGUAAAACCAGCAAAUGAACCCAGUUCUGUUAACUCCCAGUUCAGUGCCUUUUUGGAUUCGAUCACAUUCCCUGCACUGAAGGGUUUGCAAUCUAAUGCCUUGAUCAUGAAAACUAUUCAUACUGGGCAUAGAACUUACUACAGUGAGAAAUUUCAUUGAAGUCACUAAAAAACUUUUUUUGCCCACUGAUUUCCACUAAUAAACACUAUACUUGGUAUUAAGAAUCAUGGCCUAACUAAAUCAUGGCCUAAGUCAUGGUUUCAGAAAGAUGUGGCACAUCCAUUUACUCAGACCGUGUUGCAAUCUGGAUUUAAUGUAAAACAGGCUUUUGAGCAGACUUUUCUAUGAGGAUGCACCAGUAAUUAAAACAUUCCAUAAACACUAAGCUAAAAUCUAGUCAAAUGCAUGACAACCGCCUACCAGAGGCUUUCAUGGCUAAUAUUGAUCACAUUAUUGAUUUGAUUCAUGCUGUGGACAUCUCGGUAACUAUUGACAAAAUGCCUGAGAUGAUUGGGAAUAAAGUGGUACACUGCUUGUGACCUUAGCUGAUAAAGCAAAUGGAUGGGACAGGCAAACCAGUGGAGUGGGUCUGCUUAUUGGUUGUGAAUAGAACUGGUCAGGAAACAGAAAAUAUUUUAAUUUUUGUUUUAAAAAAAAUUGGCUAUGGGGUUUUUCCCCCCCCCCAGGUUCUCCAUCCAAACUACAUCUCCCAUGAUGCACCAUGGCCAGGAAAUCCCAUGAUGCACUACCUCCCUUCUCCAAAUGGGGAGACCAUGCUGCUUCACUGGAGAUGUAUUCUGAUCAGGGAGCCUGGUCUAUAGAGGAGAAUGGGAGUUUGUGGCACCAGAACUGCAGCUUCCAUCAAACACUGCAGCAGCAUUUCCAAAUCAAAUAUUUUGGAGUUUGACCAACAUUUUUUGGUAUUUGAAUUUCUGCUGGAAAAAAAACCCAGUUUUUUACCAGUUCUAUGUGCUUUGUAUUAAACUUGGCCCAACCUGCACCUGCUAAUCUU